rnacentral:ncRNA from 1 species
GCUUAAUUUGACUCAACACGGGGAAACUUACCAGGUCCAGACAUAGUAAGGAUUGACAGACUGAGAGCUCUUUCUAUUUUUUAUGGGUGGUGGUGCAUGGCCGUUCUUAGUUGGUGGAGCGAUUUGUCUGGUUAAUUCCGUUAACGAACGAGCAGCAGUAGGAAAUAGCAACAGGCUAUUCAUAAAGAAACAUAAAACACAUAAUACAAAAAACAGCAAAUUGGGGUUAACCCCCUAAGUCUAAUUGGCGUCGAUUUGGCCCACAAUGAAACGGCCUCCACUAUUGGUCGUCAAUUCCGGGUACUGCAUGAACAUGGCUGAAUAAACAUGAGUUUGAAUCCUCCGGGUAAGGGCUGC